rnacentral:ncRNA from 1 species
AUCUUCAGGGCAGGGCGAAAUUCCCUACCGGUGGUAAAGCCCACGAGCCGCAAGGCAUGAUUCGGUGAAACUCCGAGGCCGACAGUAAAGUCUGGAUAAAAAGAA